rnacentral:tRNA from 1 species
GUCCCCAUCGUCUAGCGGUCAGGACAUCACCCUUUCACGGUGAAGACCCGGGUUCGAUUCCCGGUGGGGACGCCA